GCGGAUGGCCGGACGGCCGCGAAGGCGACUUCGAGGAAAGUCCGGACUCCAGGGAGAAAUGGCGGCGGGUAACGCCCGCCCGGGGCAACCCGAGGGAAAGCGCCACAGAAAUCAGACCGCCCGCGGCUCCGGUCGCGGGCAAGGGUGAAACGGUGGGGUAAGAGCCCACCGCGCUGCCGGCAACGGGAGCGGCACGGCAAGCCCCGCCAGGAGCAAGGCCAAAUAGGGAUCGCGCGGGGCUCCGGCCCCAGGGCCUCUCCCGCCCGAGCGGUCCGGGUUGGCUGCUCGAGCCUGCCGGCGACGGCAGGCCCAGACGAAUGGCCGUCGGCGCCCUGCAAAGGGCGUCACAGAAUCCGGCUUACAGGCCAUCCGCGCGC
rnacentral:RNase_P_RNA from 1 species